GCUUCUUUUUCCCCGGAGCUUGCUCCACCGGAAAAAGAAGAGUGGCGAACGGGUGAGUAACACGUGGGUAACCUGCCCAUCAGAAGGGGAUAACACUUGGAAACAGGUGCUAAUACCGUAUAACAAUCGAAACCGCAUGGUUUUGAUUUGAAAGGCGCUUUCGGGUGUCGCUGAUGGAUGGACCCGCGGUGCAUUAGCUAGUUGGUGAGGUAACGGCUCACCAAGGCUACGAUGCAUAGCCGACCUGAGAGGGUGAUCGGCCACAUUGGGACUGAGACACGGCCCAAACUCCUACGGGAGGCAGCAGUAGGGAAUCUUCGGCAAUGGACGAAAGUCUGACCGAGCAACGCCGCGUGAGUGAAGAAGGUUUUCGGAUCGUAAAACUCUGUUGUUAGAGAAGAACAAGGAUGAGAGUAACUGUUCAUCCCUUGACGGUAUCUAACCAGAAAGCCACGGCUAACUACGUGCCAGCAGCCGCGGUAAUACGUAGGUGGCAAGCGUUGUCCGGAUUUAUUGGGCGUAAAGCGAGCGCAGGCGGUUUCUUAAGUCUGAUGUGAAAGCCCCCGGCUCAACCGGGGAGGGUCAUUGGAAACUGGGAGACUUGAGUGCAGAAGAGGAGAGUGGAAUUCCAUGUGUAGCGGUGAAAUGCGUAGAUAUAUGGAGGAACACCAGUGGCGAAGGCGGCUCUCUGGUCUGUAACUGACGCUGAGGCUCGAAAGCGUGGGGAGCAAACAGGAUUAGAUACCCUGGUAGUCCACGCCGUAAACGAUGAGUGCUAAGUGUUGGAGGGUUUCCGCCCUUCAGUGCUGCAGCUAACGCAUUAAGCACUCCGCCUGGGGAGUACGACCGCAAGGUUGAAACUCAAAGGAAUUGACGGGGGCCCGCACAAGCGGUGGAGCAUGUGGUUUAAUUCGAAGCAACGCGAAGAACCUUACCAGGUCUUGACAUCCUUUGACCACUCUAGAGAUAGAGCUUCCCCUUCGGGGGCAAAGUGACAGGUGGUGCAUGGUUGUCGUCAGCUCGUGUCGUGAGAUGUUGGGUUAAGUCCCGCAACGAGCGCAACCCUUAUUGUUAGUUGCCAUCAUUCAGUUGGGCACUCUAGCAAGACUGCCGGUGACAAACCGGAGGAAGGUGGGGAUGACGUCAAAUCAUCAUGCCCCUUAUGACCUGGGCUACACACGUGCUACAAUGGGAAGUACAACGAGUCGCGAAGUCGCGAGGCUAAGCUAAUCUCUUAAAGCUUCUCUCAGUUCGGAUUGUAGGCUGCAACUCGCCUACAUGAAGCCGGAAUCGCUAGUAAUCGCGGAUCAGCACGCCGCGGUGAAUACGUUCCCGGGCCUUGUACACACCGCCCGUCACACCACGAGAGUUUUAACACCCGAAGUCGGUGAGGAACCUUUGGAGCCAGC
rnacentral:rRNA from 1 species